rnacentral:lncRNA from 10 species
UAGGACCCUCCGAGCCAGGUGCCGGAUAUAAUCUUGUGGUGCGCCGUUUUUUAAGCCCGUCGGAAAAGCGCAGUAUUCGGGUGGGAGUGACCUGAUUUUCCAGGUGCCGUCUGUCACCCCUUUGUUUGACUAGGAAAGGGAACUCCCUGACCCCUUGGGCUUCCCAAGUGAGGCAAUGCCUCGCCCUGCUUCGGCUCGUGCACGGUGCGCGCACCCACUGACCUGCGCCCACUGUCUGGCACUCCCUAGUGAGAUGAACCCGGUACCUCAGAUGGAAAUGCAGAAAUCACCCGUCUUCUGCGUGGCUCACACUGGGAGCUGUAGACCUGAGCUGUUCCUAUUCAGCCAUCUUGGCUCCUCUCUAACAGGGUGUGCAACAAUUGGGAAUGCUGAGCAAGGCUUUGCCCCUAUAUCCCUAUGCACUUCUGUUGGAAGAAUGUUCAAGCCUCUUCCCAAGACAGCUCCAGUGUUUGGGGAAAAUAAAGUGCUCUCCCUUGGCCUGGGCCCUUGGAUCCCAAGUGGAAAGAAUCCACACCAACCUCCUCAUAAUCUUUUUCAAGGGCAGCCAUGUCCUCACAGGCCUCAGA